GCUUACGGCCAUACUGUCCUGAAAAUGGCCAAUUUCAUCUGAUCUUGGUAGCUAAGCAGGGUUGGGCCUGGUUAGUACUUGGAAUGCAGACCGCCUAGGAAUACCAGGUGCUUUAAGUG
rnacentral:rRNA from 1 species